GGGAAGGUCAAGGAAGCUGAAUGAAGCCUAUUUCCUACAAACAAGAAAUGGGGGACACAGAAAGGAUUUGGAUCUUGGAGUCGCACAGGGUCCUGCUUGGUGUCAAUGAUGUGAUGUGCUGAGCAGAGCACGGCAUCUUUCCUGUUACAUCCUGCUAAGAAUGAGUGUGGACGUGGAGAAACAUUGGAUGGACACAGGGUGAGAAGCAUCUUACAAAAUGAAAGAUGAUUCAAAGAAAGGAAUCCACCAAGUCCAGACAUUUUGAAGCCUAGAGACCUUGAGAGUGGCAACACCUUAUGGGAUGUCAGCUGUAGCUCUGAUUCAGCCUGGGAACCUCCAUAUGCUGCUGGUAUGGCCCUAAAAAGAAAAACAAACAAACAAAAAAACAAUGCUGUGAGAAGACCAAGGAUCAGGAGGGCUCCUCAGUCAAGUCAGUUUGGAAAUGCUGUAAGCAGUAGCCCCCAAGUGGAUCUAAGAAACCACACGGAAGGGAGAGAAGUUCAACAGCAAAGAAACAGUUGGGUUACUUAGUUUACAAACCAUUUCCACAUCUUUGACUAGAAGUUAGCAAACUUCUGUAAAGGACCAGAUAAGGAAAUAUUUUAGACUUGGUGGGUCAUCCUGGGUCUCUGUGGGAAUGUCUCAAAUCUGUCACUAGGGCACAAAAAAAAAAAAAGAAAGAAAGGCUCUGGACAAUACGUAAAUGUCUGAGUGGGGCUGUGUCCUGACAAUGCUUUGUUUAUGAACCCUGACAUUUAAUUUUAUAAAAUUUUCAUGUCAUGAAAUAUUACUAGCGUAUUGAUUUUUUUUCUUCCAACCAUUUUAAAAUGGAAAAACAUAGCUAUAUGUGUUUUACAAGCAGUUUGUUACGUGCACCCAAACAGGCAGUGAACCAGACUUGGUCCACCAGCCAAAGUUUGCCAUCCCCCGCUUUAGACUACAAGCCCUCUCUCCUUACCUUUUAUAUUUUUUGUGUGGAUUCUAUUAAGAUUUAGGGGACAGUGGAGCCUCCAGAUGGAAGCUGCCUUGAUGGACAUUUUGCUUGUUCUCAAUUUUUCCUAUUAUAAAAUGCUAUAAUUCAUUGGUUAUAUUCGUAGAUCUCUUUUUAGAUAUAUUGUUUCCUUAAAUAAAUAACCCAGGACAUAUAUGGGGGCAAUCGAGGCACCAAUAGGUAAUUCAAGAAAAACUGUAACUUUGCUUUUGUUUCUGGACAGAGGUCAUUCUUCUCUCUGUUUGCUAAUAAGACAGUAGUUACAUACCUGGGCGUUAGCCCAGAGAGUGGGAAAGACAAAAUUAUCCAGACUCCAUAUUUUUGUUUAUCUAUUCCAGAGGCUUUGAGUAGGGAAAGGAGGAUGUGAGGGCAGAGAGGACUUGACCAUAAAUUAUUCUGGUAAAGCUGUAGCACACUGGGGAAGACGACGUUAAUCCUGGAAAUAGAGUUUUAAUGUUUUGAGCUAUACCUGAGAAAUUAAAAAAAAAAAAAAAAA